GAGAGAGGCUUGAAGCAAAAUAAGACUGCUAAUCUUUGUCCCCGCAGUUAAAAUCUGCGGCUCACUCG
rnacentral:tRNA from 1 species